GUCACUAGACAUCCCAGCCCCAAGGCAGAGAAAGAGAGCCUUGGCAGGGGACAGAUGUGCUGUGACAUCCCUCUAGCAUCUAUGAAGCAUGUUACAGAGGAACGGCUGGAGGAAAGAGAAGGAACUUGCCCAUCUCAGUACUUCCUCUGCCUUAACCAGUGGCGUUCCUUGGUGUGGCAAACCCAUUCCUGAAGCCAAACUUCCUCCUCAGGACAUCUCAGCAUUCACAAGAUGAUCAGCCCAGGGGCCUGGUGUCUGUUUGGAAGAGAUGCUCCAUUCCCUGGAGUCUGUCAGAGCUGAGGAAGUGGUGGAACAUGGACAGAUGGACAUACAAACGGAUGGACAGAUAGACAGACAGACAGAUGGGCAGGCUGGAGGAGAGACAGACAUAUCCAUCUGGCAAUCUUCCACUUUGACAAAGUGGAUGAAACAAUUAUCUCCGUUAUCGGCCAAAGCGGUAGACAUGCGAGAGUUGGGGGAUUUCUGCAGGUGGACAGCCUUGGCUAGGAAUCAACACCAAUGGUGAAACGUGCCCAGGAAUGGCUCCCACCUCUCUCUCGCUUGUGACUAUGAGCAUCUGAAGAUGGAUUGUGCAUCCCGACGAGCACUGUUCCGUGAAGAACAAAAAUCAUAGGUCGGAGGUUCAUUAAUCAGUGAGAUUCUCUUUGCAAACACCACCUGAAUGAGUAGUCCCUGUUUUUGGAGAGAUUUUUAAACAAUGAUGACAGUCUGCACCAUGGCAUUGUCCUCAGGCCAAUGGAGCAUUGUAACAUCAAUGUGGUUCAUCAGAAAUGGGUCCUUCAUAUAAAUCUGCUCGUGAGUAAACUAAAAAAUGACUACAUCCUAUCAAUUGGCAUAGAUGCAUAUACAGAAGCUGUUCGUGGAGACUUCAAUAAGCAACGCAUUCAGUCUCUGCCUUCACUAUGUACUGGAAAGUAAAGGGGACAGCUCUGUUAGACAACACCUUGUAUGCACCCUGAAGGCAGCCAUGGGUUAAGGUGCAGUUAGAGGUUCGUGGGCAAGGCAAGAAUUGCGGCUCAUCGGGUUAAAGGAAGAAGAGAAGAAAAGUGGCUCAUGCCUUCAGAGCCUGACCUGGGAGCGUCCCCGUCAAGAGCCUAUCUCAGCCCAAGGAUUUGUCCUCAGCGGUGCCAGAAAAUCUGUUCCCUUGGCAAGGGAUGGAAACCGUAGCGUGACAUUCUCCUGGUAACCCUGCCAGGCCACAGGCAGCCAGCAUACCUGUCCGGGGUGAACAUCCCUAUGCAAAUAGAAAUGGCUCCCCUAUAGGAAACAGUUUACACUGAUGCUGUUUGUCACCUCUGAGAAAUGCAAGCCCUGUGACAGGUUGUGUUCCAGUCCCUGGGCAGGAAGGGAAAUUAUAGG